rnacentral:rRNA from 1 species
AUUGAACGCUGGCGGCAGGCCUAACACAUGCAAGUCGAGCGGAUGAAGGGAGCUUUCUCCUGUAUUCAGCUGCCGACGGGUGAGUAAUGCCUAGGAAUCUGCCCGUUAGUGGGGGAUACGUCCGCAAACGGGCGCUAAUACCGCAAACGUCCUGAGGGUGAAAGUGGGGGGUCUUCGGACCUCACGCUAUCUGAUGAGCCUAGGUCGGAUUAGCUAGUUUGUGGGGUAAAGGCCUACCAAGGGGACCAUCCGUAAGUGGACUGACAGGAUGGUCAGUCACACUAGAACUGGGACAAGGUCCAGACUCCUAAGGGAAGGCGCAGUGGGGAAUAUUGGACAAUGGGCGAAAACCUGAUCCAGCCAACCCGAGUGUGUGAAGAAAGUGUUGGGAUUGUAAAGCACUUUUAGUUGGGGGGAAACGAAGUAGGUUAAUACCAUGCUGUUUUGACGUUAACAACAGAAUAAGCACCGGCUAACUUCGUG